rnacentral:rRNA from 1 species
GGUUAAGCGACUAAGCGUACACGGUGGAUGCCCUGGCAGUCAGAGGCGAUGAAGGACGUGCUAAUCUGCGAAAAGCGUCGGUAAGGUGAUAUGAACCGUUAUAACCGGCGAUGUCCGAAUGGGGAAACCCAGUGUGAUUCGUCACACUAUCGUUAACUGAAUACAUAGGUUAACGAGGCGAACCGGGGGAACUGAAACAUCUAAGUACCCCGAGGAAAAGAAAUCAACCGAGAUUCCCCCAGUAGCGGCGAGCGAACGGGGAGCAGCCCAGAGUCUGAAUCAGCUUGUGUGUUAGUGGAACGGUCUGGAAAGUCCGACGGUACAGGGUGAUAGUCCCGUACACCAAAAUGCACAGGCUGUGAACUCGAAGAGUAGGGCGGGACACGUGGUAUCCUGUCUGAAUAUGGGGGGACCAUCCUCCAAGGCUAAAUACUCCUGACUGACCGAUAGUGAACCAGUACCGUGAGGGAAAGGCGAAAAGAACCCCGGCGAGGGGAGUGAAAAAGAACCUGAAACCGUGUACGUACAAGCAGUGGGAGCACCUUUAUGGUGUGACUGCGUACCUUUUGUAUAAUGGGUCAGCGACUUAUAUUCUGUAGCAAGGUUAACCGUAUAGGGGAGCCGCAGGGAAACCGAGUCUUAACUGGGCGUUAAGUUGCAGGGUAUAGACCCGAAACCCGGUGAUCUAGCCAUGGGCAGGUUGAAGGUUGGGUAACACUAACUGGAGGACCGAACCGACUAAUGUUGAAAAAUUAGCGGAUGACUUGUGGCUGGGGGUGAAAGGCCAAUCAAACCGGGAGAUAGCUGGUUCUCCCCGAAAGCUAUUUAGGUAGCGCCUCGUGAACUCAUCUUCGGGGGUAGAGCACUGUUUCGGCUAGGGGGUCAUCCCGACUUACCAACCCGAUGCAAACUACGAAUACCGAAGAAUGUUAUCACGGGAGACACACGGCGGGUGCUAACGUCCGUCGUGAAGAGGGAAACAACCCAGACCGCCAGCUAAGGUCCCAAAGUCAUGGUUAAGUGGGAAACGAUGUGGGAAGGCACAGACAGCCAGGAUGUUGGCUUAGAAGCAGCCAUCAUUUAAAGAAAGCGUAAUAGCUCACUGGUCGAGUCGGCCUGCGCGGAAGAUGUAACGGGGCUAAACCAUGCACCGAAGCUGCGGCAGCGACACUAUGUGUUGUUGGGUAGGGGAGCGUUCUGUAAGCCUGCGAAGGUGGCCUGUGAGGGUUGCUGGAGGUAUCAGAAGUGCGAAUGCUGACAUAAGUAACGAUAAAGCGGGUGAAAAGCCCGCUCGCCGGAAGACCAAGGGUUCCUGUCCAACGUUAAUCGGGGCAGGGUGAGUCGACCCCUAAGGCGAGGCCGAAAGGCGUAGUCGAUGGGAAACAGGUUAAUAUUCCUGUACUUGGUGUUACUGCGAAGGGGGGACGGAGAAGGCUAUGUUAGCCGGGCGACGGUUGUCCCGGUUUAAGCAUGUAGGCUGGUUAUCCAGGCAAAUCCGGAUAAUCAAGGCUGAGGUGUGAUGACGAGGCACUACGGUGCUGAAGUAACAAAUGCCCUGCUUCCAGGAAAAGCCUCUAAGCAUCAGGUAACAUCAAAUCGUACCCCAAACCGACACAGGUGGUCAGGUAGAGAAUACCAAGGCGCUUGAGAGAACUCGGGUGAAGGAACUAGGCAAAAUGGUGCCGUAACUUCGGGAGAAGGCACGCUGGUGUGUAGGUGAAGUCCCUGCGGAUGGAGCUGAGACCAGUCGAAGAUACCAGCUGGCUGCAACUGUUUAUUAAAAACACAGCACUGUGCAAACACGAAAGUGGACGUAUACGGUGUGACGCCUGCCCGGUGCCGGAAGGUUAAUUGAUGGGGUUAUCCGUAAGGAGAAGCUCUUGAUCGAAGCCCCGGUAAACGGCGGCCGUAACUAUAACGGUCCUAAGGUAGCGAAAUUCCUUGUCGGGUAAGUUCCGACCUGCACGAAUGGCGUAAUGAUGGCCAGGCUGUCUCCACCCGAGACUCAGUGAAAUUGAACUCGCUGUGAAGAUGCAGUGUACCCGCGGCAAGACGGAAAGACCCCGUGAACCUUUACUAUAGCUUGACACUGAACAUUGAGCCUUGAUGUGUAGGAUAGGUGGGAGGCUUUGAAGCGUGGACGCCAGUCUGCGUGGAGCCAACCUUGAAAUACCACCCUUUAAUGUUUGAUGUUCUAACGUUGGCCCCUGACCGGGGUUGCGGACAGUGUCUGGUGGGUAGUUUGACUGGGGCGGUCUCCUCCCAAAGCGUAACGGAGGAGCACGAAGGUUAGCUAAUCCUGGUCGGACAUCAGGAGGUUAGUGCAAUGGCAUAAGCUAGCUUGACUGCGAGCGUGACGGCGCGAGCAGGUGCGAAAGCAGGUCAUAGUGAUCCGGUGGUUCUGAAUGGAAGGGCCAUCGCUCAACGGAUAAAAGGUACUCCGGGGAUAACAGGCUGAUACCGCCCAAGAGUUCAUAUCGACGGCGGUGUUUGGCACCUCGAUGUCGGCUCAUCACAUCCUGGGGCUGAAGUAGGUCCCAAGGGUAUGGCUGUUCGCCAUUUAAAGUGGUACGCGAGCUGGGUUUAGAACGUCGUGAGACAGUUCGGUCCCUAUCUGCCGUGGGCGCUGGAGAAUUGAGGGGGGCUGCUCCUAGUACGAGAGGACCGGAGUGGACGCAUCACUGGUGUUCGGGUUGUCAUGCCAAUGGCACUGCCCGGUAGCUAAAUGCGGAAGAGAUAAGUGCUGAAAGCAUCUAAGCACGAAACUUGCCCCGAGAUGAGUUCUCCCUGAGACUUUAAGUCUCCUGAAGGAACGUUGAAGACGACGACGUUGAUAGGCCGGGUGUGUAAGCGCAGCGAUGCGUUGAGCUAACCGGUACUAAUGAACCGUGAGGCUUAACCUU